CAGAUGAUGAAAGAAUGACAGUGUACAGUAAGAGGUGACAGAGCUAGUGAAAAAGGGCGAAUGAAAUGCAAAUUAUAUUAAUAGAAGUAACAAGUACAAUAGUAGCAAAAACACAUGAACACCAGAAUAACCUCACCUUUCAACCCUCUCGAGGUAGCAAGGCAGAUUUGGAUAGGAUGAACCAAAGGACAGAUAGAUGGCAAAUACAGUGUAAUGUUAACAAAUGGCGUAUAUAUAAGAAACCCACACAGUAUCUACGCAAUAAAGAACGAAACUCUUGUAAAUUCAGAGAAAGAUAAAGAUUUUAGUUAGGUAUAGUUAGCUAUGAUCUGUGCCUAAGAAAACAAUGCAUAGAGACUAAAAAUUAAGCUAAACGGUUAUUAGAAUUAAUCUUUUAAUGGUAUAUACAACAACAAUUUCAACUUUAAUUUAUUACUUUGCAUAUUUAAAGACACCAAACUAAUUACAUGGAAGCCAAUACAGAAGCAGAUUGUGAGAAAGGGAUCGAAGCUGAAACGUCUUAAUUGCUGUCUCACCACUUUUAUUUCAAAUGCCACAGAGAUGAUUAUCCGGGUUCUCCAAUGCGUUUCUUCUAUUAAUAAUAUAGAAAUCGUGUUGAUCUGUCAGUAGAACCAUAAAAACAUUUAUAAAAACCUUUGCAACUUUAUUCAGAGUCAUCAGUUUAGAGGUGCGGCUAAGUGUUUCAGAAUACGGUUCGUUGUCUAGUCUCCUUCCAGCCUGUCAUACACACUUGGUCCAUUUCACCACUAGCAGCGACGGAGAGAAUUCGAGGUGCAGAGGUCUCGUGGCGAGACUCUGAAUGAGGCUGUGAAGGAGUGAAGGUGUGAACUGUGCGGUUUCCACUUCAUCCUAUGAACAGCCCACAAGAAUCUCUCUCUACCAACACCUACUACUGGCAUCGGGUUAUCAAAUAGUGUUACCAUAUCAGGCCUGACAUUCUCGGAGACAUAGCAAUCAGGGAGUCAAGUUUUAUCAGGAAGAGAGGCUGAGUGUCACCACCUUCAAGCCUGAGAAGAGGUGUAAAGAAGUAUCAGGACAAUAUCAUCAGUACAAAGGACAAAGAAAAG